GUUGGGCGUGGUGGCGCACGCCUGUAAUCCUAGCUACUCGGGAGGCUGAGGCAGGAGAAUUGCUUGAACUCGGGAGGUGGAGGUUGCAGUGAGCUGAAAUUGUGCCACUGCACUCCUGCCUGGGUGACAGAGCGAGAUUCCGUUUCAG
ensembl:misc_RNA Metazoa_SRP Metazoan signal recognition particle RNA